rnacentral:rRNA from 1 species
AAUCUGAUGGUCUUUGGCCGUCCGAGUUGUAAUUUAGAGAAGCGUCUUCCGCGCUGGACCGUGCACAAGUCUCCUGGAAUGGAGCGUCAUAGAGGGUGAGAAUCCCGUCUUUGGCACGGACACACCAGGGCUUUUGUGAUGCGCUCUCGAAGAGUCGAGUUGUUUGGGAAUGCAGCUCAAAAUGGGUGGUGAACUCCAUCUAAAGCUAAAUAUUGGCGAGAGACCGAUAGCGAACAAGUACCGUGAGGGAAAGAUGAAAAGCACUUUGGAAAGAGAGUGAAACAGUACGUGAAAUUGUUGAAAGGGAAACGCUUGAAGUCAGUCGCGUCGACCGAGACUCAGCCUUGCCUUGGCUUGGUGUACUUCUCGGCUGACGGGUCAGCAUCAAUUUUGCCCCUUGGAUAAUGGCGAGGGAAAUGUGACACCUUUGCGGUGUGUUAUAGUCCCUCGUCGCAUGCAAGGGUUGGGAUUGAGGAACUCAGCACGCGCCUUUGGGCGUCGGGGCUUUGCCCACGAUACGUGCUUAGGAUGUUGGCGUAAUGGCUUUAAACGACCCGUCUUGAAACACGGACCAAGGAGUCUAACAUGCCUGCGAGUGUUCGGGUGGAAAACCCGUGCGCGCAAUGAAAGUGAAAGUUGGGACCUCUGUCGUGGAGGGCACCGACGCCCGGACCAGACCUUCUGUGACGGCUCUGCGGUAGAGCAUGUAUGUUAGGACCCGAAAGAUGGUGAACUAUGCCUGAAUAGGGUGAAGCCAGAGGAAACUCUGGUGGAGGCUCGUAGCGAUUCUGACGUGCAAAUCGAUCGUCAAAUUUGGGUAUAGGGGCGAAAGACUAAUCGAACCAUCUAG